rnacentral:lncRNA from 1 species
GCUCCGGGAGCGCAGAGGCAGCGGGAGGAGGAGGCCGCGAGCGCCCGCACGGAGCGGUGAGAGGGGGCAGCGAGGGGCUGGGGGGCGCAGGGGGGGUGGGAGAGGGGCUCGGCUGCUGCUGUUGAGGCAGGAUGGGAAUGAAUAGACUUGACUCAGAAGGUUGUGAGAGUGAAACUUCGAUUUAUUUAAAAUACACCGCUCCUUUAUACAGAGCUCCGUGAGGACUAAAUCUAUUGAAGUGAAAACAAUCCACAGCUUUGGUGUACAGUGCUUGACACAGAACUUACCUAUAAACAAUGUGAAAAACAAGAGAGAUAAAGAAUUAUUUACAUUCUUAUUUAGCUCUUUCCCAGGCGUCUGCCUGGCUAGAAACUCUCAGUUUCUCUCUUUGACUGAAUCCGAGUCCCACACUCGGCCACCCCAGGGUUGGCUAAGAUUGCUCACAGGGGGGGUCCCACCACGCUGGAAAUCUUCAUGGUGCCCCCCCGCCCACCGAGGGGGGACCCAGUGAGGUUCCCCACCUUUGGAACACCCCUUGUACCCCCAGAACAAGGAGCCGGGGGUCCCUCCGACCCUCCCAGCCGAUGACUCCUACGAAGACACCGAACCCCCCGAGCACGGCGGCGGCGACAGCGACAGCAGCCACUACGAGUCGUACGGAGAGGAGGAAGAGGAGGAGGAGGAGGAUGGGGGGGUGACGGACCGGGCCCAUUACCUGCGCUGGCCAGCGGGCACCAGCGCCGAGCCCCCCGAGCCCCCCGGGCGCCCCGAGGCGCAGCUCUGCGGUUUCCUCUGGAGGAAGCGCUGGCUGGGCCGGUGGGCCAAGCAGCUUUUCAUCGUCCGGGAGCACGUCCUGCUGUGCUUCAGGUGUGCCGCAGACCUGCAGCCGCUGCUGCAGCUGGACCUGCGCGGCUGCCGCGUCUCCUGCAAGGACAAGAGGGGCAAGAAGAUGCCCCAUGCCCUGAAGGUGGCAGGGAGGGCAGGAGAGGUGCUGGUCAUCGGCUUCCAGAGCCGGCAGCAGGCUGAGGACUGGAGGAAGGUGAUCGAGGAGGUGAGCAGCGAUGGCCCGAGCGGGCUGGCGGCUCUCGGGGUCCCAGCGCCGCCUUCCUCCAGGCCCGGCAGGGUGAGUUUGGUCCCCCCGGGAAAUAAACCCCAACCCCAUAUCCUGGGGAGAGCUGAGACCCCACAGUUUCGGGGCUCUCCCCACAGAUUCGGGGCUCCCCUCACAGAUUCGGGGCUCCCCCCACAGAUUCGGGGAUCCCCCUAUCCCCACUCCGGGCCUGCCUCACCGCAGCUCGGCAAGGAGGAAGAGGAGGAGGGGAGGAAGCGCUGCCGGCCGAGCCCCGCGCGGCGCGGAGAGGACGGCAAAGGAGGGUUCCCGGUGCUCCGGCAGCGCCUGCGGGCCGCGCUCCGUCGCGGAGCCCUGCGGGUGCUGGCGGUGCCCGGCGCUGCCCCGCGCCCGGAGGGGUGCCGGGGGUCCCCCGGGACGGCCGCCGGAUCCCCCCAAAACCUCCGCGCCCGCAUCGCCCAGCGCGGCCGGGAGCUGGCCCGGCUGCAGGCCCGUCCGGACCAGGGGAGCGAAGCCCGGCUGAGGACCCCACAGACCAGGGGGGCAGCGGAGCCCAAGAAGGGCGAGGGGCCCCCGCCGAGACCCCCGAGGCCGAGCAGCCGCCCCGCUGCCGGGGGGCUGCUGCUGCGCCGUGUGCCCACCCCCAACGCCUACAUGGACGAUCCCUCCGGGCACCCCCCGCCAGCCGGGACCCCCAAACAUCUCUCGUGCAGCGCGGAGCGGCUGCAGCAGCUGCAGCAGAGCCUGGAGCGGGCAGUGCCAGGGCAGCGCCCCAGACCCGUGUCUGCCCUGCCCGGCUGUGCCAGCGCCGCGGGCGGUGCCCGGGCCUCGCCGGCAGGUGAGAGCGGUGGGUGGGAAUGUCCAGGGAGGCGGCGGUGCCCAGGAGAUUUGGGAUUUCUGUGUCCUCCCACCUUUCCCUUCCUGCUGAUUAUUCGGGAUCAUCCCCGCAGCCUUUCCCGGCUGCGUGGUGGCGCUCCGCAAUAA